rnacentral:tRNA from 1 species
CAGCUGGCUGGCGCGGCUGGCGAACCAUUGCGCCGCCUCCCGGGCGGCGGCAGGCGCCGGCUGCGGGGCCUGGCUGAGCGCCUGGGCCUGCUGG